UUGGGUGCCGUAAUAGUUAGUAUACCAUCCGAGGAGAGGGUCGAGGUGACGUUGACGAGGUCGUGAGAUGGGGGCAGGACGUAUCUGCGUACGAAGUGUCUGCUGACGUAGCCGUGCUCGUCUUGCUUCUCCUCGUGUUUGGCCUCGAUAAUAACGUGGUUGUCGGCCGUCUUCACCGUGAUCUCAUCCGGAUCCUCUUUCCACGAACGUCUUCGGAGGACCGAAAUUUUGCGUUCUCUCUCUCUCUCUCACUCUUUCACUGUCAAGGGAGCAUGGAUUAGUACAGCGAAGCGCAUGCACACACAGAGACACACCGACCAUCGUCCGACCAUGCGCCGCCCGUAGACCAAAAGUUAAGUAUCGAUCGCUUCAGAGCGAGCUUGCUUUCCGAGGAUGAUCGUCGAAAUUGAGCGAUAACGCCCUUCUCUUUAUUUUCUCUCGCAUUGCGCGUCAACGUUUCUCGCGUUUCUUUCCCUUGGUUCUCCCGUUUUACCGGCUAACCAAAUUCUUCUGUGGAAGGGGAUCACGAACGCGGUUUCGUAGCGCGUAUACUGUACCGAAACGCAGAGAGCUACUUUACGCACAAUCAUUCCGGCUGACCAUCUGGAGCGCCUCGCGCGCCUGGUUUACACUCGUUCUUCCAAGUUUCCGCGUUAGGGAACCGCCGGGACCGGUCCCGAUCAGACCACGGUAGUUGGAGUUUCCACGACGAAGGAGGAAAAUGACAAUUCGGCCAACGCAGUAGAUCCGUCGAGCGUCUGCUAGCGCAUCCGGAACAGACGUUCUCUUUUCAUUACGACUUCCGUCACUUUUUCUUUCAUGUAAUCUCCCGUCCGCGUCUCUUAGAUCAUCGCGUUAUGGUACAAAAGCAAACCGGGAAGAUGUAGUUGCCGGGCCCACCUACUUGUGUGAGACUGUUCCUUUUUUUUUGACGACCAAAAAAAACGAGCAUACAUACAAGUAGGUGAUCUUUUUUAUCGGUGAUCGCGCACGGUCGUGACGGGAGCGAUCGGUCGCGACUGCGGUGGCCGAUCGCCUUUUCGCGGCCAGCGGCUCACUUUAACAAAAGUGCAAAAAAGAAACAGAAAACGAUCAAUAACAAAAAGUAAUUUACCAAAAAACAAUAAAAAAAGACCGAAACAGAAAAUGGUUUAGACUUUCGUGUAGAACGAGGAAGCUUCAACGAUCGACGGUAGGGUAGGCGAGCCGAGUCUUUCCGCGUGAUUCUGGAGCUCGGUGAGCGCGAGCGCGAAGAGAAUAGUGGAGGAUGAUUCGCUGUGCAUUUGGAAAAUAGCGUCAGACGGAGAGUAGAGGAGCAGAAGCCAAAACAGAGAAGGGGA